CGUGAUUCAUGCACAGAAACGUUUGAAAACCACAGAUCUGGGUAUUUCAAGCUCUAGUCUUGUGGCAGAUUCAAUUUUCUUAAAACAAAAACAAAAAAAAGUGUCCAUAUGUUUGGGAUGAUGUUGGAGGGUUGGUUAUUAGGAUCAGAGCACUCUGUUACCCAAAACAGACAUACAUGUUGGAAACGCAGCGGCAUCUGAAGGCAGGAGCGCAGGUGAUGCCAAUUCUGGUCUUCCAUUCUGAAGGCACCAAGUUUCACCCAGUGGUGGCCCUGGCCCCUGGAGACCAAUUCCAACACAGUCCUGAUGAGUAGUACCCCAGGAUGCCACUUUAUUAAUUUAGAGAGAAAAAGGAAACUGGCCAUGUAUGUGUCUUUAGACUUGAUCAAAGCACUCUCUGCAGUGCAGUCAAGCUAUACCUGGAGACAAUUCAUAACAAACCCAUUUUAUUGAUUUGCCCUGUAAAACACUGUCCCGUAGACUGCCAGUAGCAGGAAUCCACUGGGGUCUUGCCUUCUUGACCAGUAGACAGACGUCAGGGGACUCGGAACACUGCCAGGCAAAGAUGGAGAGAUCGGCAGAGCACAC